UACGGGGGGGGGCAAGCGUUGUUCGGAAUUACUGGGCGUAAAGGGCUCGUAGGCGGCCAACUAAGUCAGACGUGAAAUCCCUCGGCUUAACCGGGGAACUGCGUCUGAUACUGGAUGGCUUGAGGUUGGGAGAGGGAUGCGGAAUUCCAGGUGUAGCGGUGAAAUGCGUAGAUAUCUGGAGGAACACCGGUGGCGAAGGCGGCAUCCUGGACCAAUUCUGACGCUGAGUGAGCGAAAGCCAGGGGGAGCAAACGGG
rnacentral:rRNA from 1 species